rnacentral:rRNA from 1 species
CGCGGCCCGAGUGGUGGUCGAUAUUAUUGAGCCUAAAACGUUCGUAGCCGGUCUUGUAAAUCCUUGGGUAAAUCGGCCAGCUUAACUGUCCGAAGUCCGGGGAGACUGCAAAACUUGGGAUCGGGAGAGGUCAGAGGUACUUCUGGGGUAGGGGUAAAAUCCUGUAAUCCUAGAAGGACCACCGGUGGCGAAGGCGUCUGACUAGAACGAAUUCGACGGUGAGGAACGAAGCCCUGGGGCGCAAACGG